rnacentral:rRNA from 1 species
UACGUAGGUGGCAAGCGUUGUCCGGAUUUACUGGGCGUAAAGGGCGUGCAGGCGGUUUGUUAAGUGCAGGGUGAAAGCUCCCGGCUCAACUGGGAGAGGUCCUUGCAUACUGGCGAACUCGAGGGAGGCAGAGGAAAGUGGAAUUCCCGGUGUAGUGGUGAUAUGCGUAGAUAUCGGGAGGAACACCUGUGGCGAAGGCGGCUUUCUGGACAGAUACCGACGCUGAGGCACGAAAGCUAGGGGAGCAAACAGG